CAGAGUUUUCUAACUCCCAAACCCAUGUGAACUUACCACUGUUGCCUCGGCGGAGCCUACCCUGUAGCUACCCUGUAAGGUGGUUACCCUGUAGCUCCGCCGGUGGAUUUUCAAACUCUUGUUAUUUUUAGUAAUCUGAGAGUCUUAUUUUAAAUAAGUCA
rnacentral:misc_RNA from 1 species